rnacentral:rRNA from 1 species
CGUGUAGGCGGCUUGGUAAGUCAGAUGUGAAAGCCCUGGGCUUAACCCAGGAAGUGCAUUUGAAACUGUCAGGCUUGAGUAGGGGAGAGGAAGGUGGAAUUCCUGGUGUAGAGGUGAAAUUCGUAGAUAUCAGGAGGAACACCGGUGGCGAAGGCGACCUUCUGGCCCUAUACUGACGCUGAGACGCGAAAGCGUGGGUAGCAAACAG